rnacentral:rRNA from 1 species
UACGAAGGGGGCUAGCGUUGUUCGGAAUCACUGGGCGUAAAGCGCAUGCAGGCGGAUUGUUAAGUCCGGGGGUGAAAAUCCCGAGGCUCAACCUCGGAACUGCCUUCGAUACUGGCAAUCUUGAGUCCGGGAGAGGUGAAGUGGAACUGCGAGUGUAGAGGUGAAAUUCGUAGAGUAAUUCGCCAAGAACACCCGUGGCUAAGGCGGCUCUCUAGUACGGUACUGGACGCUGAGACGCGAAAGCGUGGGGAGCGAACAGG